GAUGAACGCUGGCGGCGUGCCUAAUACAUGCAAGUCGAGCGAACAGACGAGGAGCUUGCUCCUCUGACGUUAGCGGCGGACGGGUGAGUAACACGUGGAUAACCUACCUAUAAGACUGGGAUAACUUCGGGAAACCGGAGCUAAUACCGGCUAAUAUAUUGAACCGCAUGGUUCAAUAGUGCAAGACGGUUUUGCUGUCACUUAUAGAUGGAUCCGCGCCGCAUGAGCUAGUUGGUAAGGUAACGGCUUACCAAGGCAACGAUGCGUAGCCGACCCGAGAGGAGGAUCAGCAAAACUGGAACUGAGACCCGGUCGAGACUCCGACGGGAGGCAGCAGUGGGGAAUAUUGGACAAGGGGCGCAAGCCUGAUCCAGCCAUACCGCGUGGGUGAAGAAGGCCUUCGGGUUGUAAAGCCCUUUUGUUGGGAAAGAAAAGCAGCAGGUUAAUACCCCGCUGUUCUGACGGUACCCAAAGAAUAAGCACCGGCUAACUUCGUG
rnacentral:rRNA from 1 species